GACGUAGGGGGCCAGCGUUGUUCGGAAUUACUGGGCGUAAAGGGCUCGUAGGUGGCCAACUAAGUCAGACGUGAAAUCCCUCAGCUUAACUGGGAACUGCGUCUGAUACUGGAUGGCUUGAGUUUGGGAGAGGGAUGCGGAAUUCCAGGUGUAGCGGUGAAAUGCGUAGAUAUCUGGAGGAACACCGGUGGCGAAGGCGGCAUCCUGGACCAACACUGACACUGAGGAGCGAAAGCCAGGGGAGCAAACGGG
rnacentral:rRNA from 1 species